rnacentral:rRNA from 1 species
ACUUGAAUAUUAGUAGUUAUGGUCUUUAAAUUCAAAGAAUUUGGCGGUAUUUUAGUCUUGUUAGAGGAACCUGUUCUGUAAAUGAUACAACACGAAGAAUCUUACUUACUCUUGUUUAACAGUUUGUAUACCGUCAUUAUUAGAUAACCUUUGUUGGGGAAGUUAUUGAAAUUUAAGAAGUUGGAGCAUAUUAGAUCAAGGUGCAGUUUAUGGGUAAGAAGUAAUGGGUUACAAUAAAAUUUAUUUAUACGGAUCAGCGAUUGAAUAGUUUCUGUAAAGGAGGAUUUAAUUGUAACAUAUAAUUUAAUAAGUUAGUGUGAUAUGAGAACUAAAAUAUGUACAUAU